UUCCGGUUGAUCCUGCCGGACCCGACUGCUAUUUGGGUGAGGAUAAGCCAUGCGAGUUGAAUGGGAAACCUAAAAAUCCCAUGGCAAACUGCUCAGUAACACAUGAUCAACUUACCCUAUAGAGGAAAAUAACCUCGGGAAACUGAGGAUAAUGUUCCAUAGUUGAAUCGGCUUGGAAAAGUUUUUCAAUAAAAGGGAUAAGGAAAAUGGUCCUUAUCUGCUAUAGGACAGGAUCGUGCUCGAUCAUGGUUGUUGGUGAGGUAAAGGCUCACCAAGCCGAUAAUCGAUAGGGGCCGUGAGAGCGGGAGCCCCGAGAUGGGUACUGAGACAACGACCCAGGCCUUACGAGGCGCAGCAGGCGCGAAACCUCCGCAAUACACGAAAGUGUGACGGGGUUACCCAAAGUGUUCAUUAGAACUGUGGUAGGUGAGUAAUGUUCCCUACUAGAAAGGAGAGGGCAAGGCUGGUGCCAGCCGCCGCGGUAAAGCCAGCUCUUCAAGUGGUCGGGAUAAUUAUUGGGCUUAAAGUGUCCGUAGCCGGUUUAGUAAGUUCCUGGUAAAAUCGGGUAGCUUAACUAUCUAUAUGCUAGGAAUACUGCUAUACUAGAGGGCGGGAGAGGUCUGAGGUACUACAGGGGUAGGGGUGAAAUCUUAUAAUCCUUGUAGGACCACCAGUGGCGAAGGCGUCAGACUGGAACGCGCCUGACGGUGAGGGACGAAAGCCAGGGGAGCGAACCGGAUUAGAUACCCGGGUAGUCCUGGCCGUAAACGAUGCAUACUAGGUGAUGGCACGGCCAUGAGCCGUGUCAGUGCCGUAGGGAAACCGUUAAGUGUGCCGCCUGGGAAGUACGGUCGCAAGGCUAAAACUUAAAGGAAUUGGCGGGGGAGCACCACAAGGGGUGAAGCCUGCGGUUCAAUUGGAUUCAACGCCGGG
rnacentral:rRNA from 1 species